rnacentral:rRNA from 1 species
UGGCGACCGGCGCACGGGUGAGUAACGCGUAUGCAACUUACCUAUCAGGAGGGGAUAGCCGGCGAAAGUCGGAUUAAUACCCCAUGAAACAGGGGUCCCGCAUGGGAAUAUUUGUUAAAGAUUCAUCGCUGAUAGAUAGGCAUGCGUUCCAUUAGGCAGUUGGCGGGGUAACGGCCCACCAAACCGACGAUGGAUAGGGGUUCUGAGAGGAAGGUCCCCCACAUUGGUACUGAGACACGGACCAA